rnacentral:lncRNA from 1 species
GUGAAACAUAGAAGCCAGAUGCAGCUCUGAGACACAGGUUGUGGGCCCUUUUCCCCUGUGUAACCAUGCACCUCCCUAAAAUGGGCAUGCACGUGUCCUUUCCCCUCCAUGACCUAGAUGGAAGCAUCAAUGAUUGAAGAUCAGCAGCAGCAUGGAACCCUGGGCCUAUUUGGAGAUACCAAGUGAGUCCAAGGAGCUCCCAGAGGCAAGUUGAUGAUGGCCUAUUGAUGGAGGCCUGGUGAUGGUGGUCAGCAAAUGUAUAUAAUUAAUUCCUUAUAAUCUAUUAUCAACUAAUAUUUAAUUUGGAAGGCAUUUUCCCCUCAACUCCUCUAAAUACCUCUGCAAUUUGCAAGUUAAAAGUAAUAUUGGAGUUACAUGAAAUUCUUACCACUUCACCAAAGAAGAGCUACUUUUGUCACUUCUACUUGCUCCCUUAUCUGAAAAGAAACAUAAUGAUGCAUUCUCAAGAAUUUCUGCAUAUUCUUUGUCUUCCUACUGAUGCCUCAUAUAGGAAUUAGGCAUGGAGGUGAUGACAAGGCUGUUCCUCACCCAUAUGGCAGACAGAAGUUGUUUCUACUGAGGGGCAUGCUUGCACAAAUGUCACUGAAUCCUCAGCAAUAUGGCCUGACUGGAAGUUAUGUAGAACAAAAGAGACAUUUUGCUGCUUGGAAUUUUCACUGCCACCCCCAGAGACGUGCUAUUUUUGUCACUUGUACCAUCUUCUUUCUCUGGGAAAAAUCAGAACAAGGCACUCCAGAGGUUGGCGUGGACCAAAAACUGGGUUUCAUUUGGACGAGUUUAUUCUUUCCUCUUGAGAUAAAACUAUGAAGGAAAGUAUUGGGAAUAAUUCGGCCUCGCAUCUUCAAAGGCCUGUGUGAAUUCUCAGAACGGCAAGCAUUUUAUUCUGAGAAUACUGGCAUUCUUUUAAAUAGCUGCAAUGUCCCAGUGACAAUGAGAGUCUGUCCAGGUUAGUCAAACACAGAACUGGGGUACUAAUUGUGUUUGUUGGUCUCCAUGACUUAAUAACAUGAUUAUAUGUCCAGUCUAGUGGUAAUGAAAUCCUUGCUGUUUAGUGUCUGUCACCUAUCUCAGGUUAAUAGUUGCUGUAAUAAACAUGCCAAGGCCAAUGAUGGCUUCA